rnacentral:lncRNA from 1 species
CUCAUGAGUGUAUUUGUGUAGAUGCUGCCGCUAAGCGAACUGCUGAGACGGCAGAACUGGGAGACUCAUGCACAGAUUUAAGGACCUCCCGGAGACUUCAUCGGAAGAAGAGCAGAAUUAAGAAUUUAAUGCGUUGCUGAUCUGUUUUAGAGACUUGCAGAAAAUUGUACUGGGCCAUGUACAAGAUUGAACUGUUCUGGCAAAACAUUCAAGGAUGUAAGGAGUGUUUUGAGUUUACCCUAUUUCACUGGAUAAUGGAGAGAGAUGAAGAGGAAAGAAGGGACCUGUCUGAUAAAUUUGCGCAUCUAACGAAGAAAGAUUAUGACUCAGUGUUUGAUCGAAUUCGGACCUUGAUGCAGCAUCAUGGCUACCCUAAAAAACAUGACAGAGACAAGGCCCUAGUGGGCCAGACCUCCUCUGUGACCAUAAACCAGACUUCUAAGACCACAAGCCAGAUCUAUUCUGAUACCUCAAGCCAGAAAUUUUCUGAGACUGAGACCCAGACCUGUUAUGAGACCGAGAGCCAGACCUUUGUGACCGUGAGUCGGAGCGCUUCUCAGACAUCGAACCACAACUUUGCAACCGUUUACCAGAUCUCUUCAGACAGUUCAAACCAGAGCUUAUCAGAGAACGAGAGCCAGACCUAUCCUGAGAUCGCGAGCCCGACCUUUGUGACCGUGAGCCGGAGCACUUCUGAGACAAACCACAACUUUGCAACCGUGCACGAGAUCUCUUCAGACACUUCAAACCAGAGCCUGUCAGAGAACGAGAGCCACACCUAUGCUGAGACCAUGAACCAGACCUUUGUGAC